rnacentral:rRNA from 1 species
UACGUAGGGGGCAAGCGUUGUCCGGAUUUAUUGGGCGUAAAGAGCGUGUAGGCGGCCAGGUAGGUCGGUUGUGAAAACUAGAGGCUCAACCUCUAGACGUCGACCGAAACCACUUGGCUAGAGUCCGGAAGAGGAGAGUGGAAUUCCCGGUGUAGCGGUGAAAUGCGCAGAUAUCGGGAAGAACACCCGUGGCGAAGGCGGACUGCGAGGUGCACCUGACGCUGAGUCGC